rnacentral:rRNA from 1 species
AGAGUUUGAUCCUGGCUCAGGACGAACGCUGGCGGCGCGCCUAACACAUGCAAGUCGAACGAGCGAGAGAGAGCUUGCUUUCUCAAGCGAGUGGCGAACGGGUGAGUAACGCGUGAGGAACCUGCCUCAAAGAGGGGGACAACAGUUGGAAACGACUGCUAAUACCGCAUAAGCCCACAGCUCGGCAUCGAGCAGAGGGAAAAGGAGCAAUCCGCUUUGAGAUGGCCUCGCGUCCGAUUAGCUAGUUGGUGAGGUAAUGGCCCACCAAGGCGACGAUCGGUAGCCGGACUGAGAGGUUGAACGGCCACAUUGGGACUGAGACACGGCCCAGACUCCUACGGGAGGCAGCAGUGGGGAAUAUUGCACAAUGGGGGAAACCCUGAUGCAGCGACGCCGCGUGGAGGAAGGAGGUCUUCGGAUUGUAAACUCCUGUUGUUGAGGAAGAUAAUGACGGUACUCAACAAGGAAGUGACGGCUAACUACGUGCCAGCAGCCGCGGUAAAACGUAGGUCACAAGCGUUGUCCGGAAUUACUGGGUGUAAAGGGAGCGCAGGCGGGAAGACAAGUUGGAAGUGAAAUCUAUGGGCUCAACCCAUAAACUGCUUUCAAAACUGUUUUUCUUGAGUAGUGCAGAGGUAGGCGGAAUUCCCGGUAUAGCGGUGGAAUGCGUAGAUAUCGGGAGGAACACCAGUGGCGAAGGCGGCCUACUGGGCACCAACUGACGCUGAGGCUCGAAAGUGUGGGUAGCAAACAGGAUUAGAUACCCUGGUAGUCCACACCGUAAACGAUGAUUACUAGGUGUUGGAGGAUUGACCCCUUCAGUGCCGCAGUUAACACAAUAAGUAAUCCACCUGGGGAGUACGACCGCAAGGUUGAAACUCAAAGGAAUUGACGGGGGCCCGCACAAGCAGUGGAGUAUGUGGUUUAAUUCGACGCAACGCGAAGAACCUUACCAAGUCUUGACAUCCCUUGACGAACAUAGAAAUAUGUUUUCUCUUCGGAGCAAGGAGACAGGUGGUGCAUGGUUGUCGUCAGCUCGUGUCGUGAGAUGUUGGGUUAAGUCCCGCAACGAGCGCAACCCUUACUGUCAGUUACUACGCAAGAGGACUCUGGCAGGACUGCCGUUGACAAAACGGAGGGAGGUGGGGAUGACGUCAAAUCAUCAUGCCCUUUAUGACUUGGGCUACACACGUACUACAAUGGCGUUAAACAAAGAGAAGCAAGACCGCGAGGUGGAGCAAAACUCAGAAACAACGUCCCAGUUCGGACUGCAGGCUGCAACUCGCCUGCACGAAGUCGGAAUUGCUAGUAAUCGUGGAUCAGCAUGCCACGGUGAAUACGUUC